GCGGCGUGCCUACAUGCAAGUCGAACGCUUCUUUUUCCACCGGAGCUUGCUCCACCGGAAAAAGAGGAGUGGCGAACGGGUGAGUAACACGUGGGUAACCUGCCCAUCAGAAGGGGAUAACACUUGGAAACAGGUGCUAAUACCGUAUAACAAUCGAAACCGCAUGGUUUUGAUUUGAAAGGCGCUUUCGGGUGUCGCUGAUGGAUGGACCCGCGGUGCAUUAGCUAGUUGGUGAGGUAACGGCUCACCAAGGCGACGAUGCAUAGCCGACCUGAGAGGGUGAUCGGCCACAUUGGGACUGAGACACGGCCCAAACUCCUACGGGAGGCAGCAGUAGGGAAUCUUCGGCAAUGGACGAAAGUCUGACCGAGCAACGCCGCGUGAGUGAAGAAGGUUUUCGGAUCGUAAAACUCUGUUGUUAGAGAAGAACAAGGAUGAGAGUAACUGUUCAUCCCUUGACGGUAUCUAACCAGAAAGCCACGGCUAACUACGUGCCAGCAGCCGCGGUAAUACGUAGGUGGCAAGCGUUGUCCGGAUUUAUUGGGCGUAAAGCGAGCGCAGGCGGUUUCUUAAGUCUGAUGUGAAAGCCCCCGGCUCAACCGGGGAGGGUCAUUGGAAACUGGGAGACUUGAGUGCAGAAGAGGAGAGUGGAAUUC
rnacentral:rRNA from 1 species